rnacentral:rRNA from 1 species
AGUGAACGCUGGCGGUAGGCCUAACACAUGCAAGUCGAACGGCAGCACAGUAAGAGCUUGCCCUUACGGGUGGCGAGUGGCGGACGGGUGAGGAGUAGAUAGGCAUCUACUUUUUCGGGGGGGAUAACGUAGGGAAACUUACGCUAAUACCGCAUACGACCUACGGGUGAAAGCAGGGGAUCAUCGGAGCUUGCGCGACUGUAUGAGCCGAUGUCGGAUUAGCUAGUUGGCGGGGUAAAGGCACACCAAGGCGACGAUCCGUAGCUGGUCUGAGAGGAUGAUCAGCCACACUGGAACUGAGACACGGUCCAGACUCCUACGGGAGGCAGCAGUGGGGAAUAUUGGACAAUGGGCGCAAGCCUGAUCCAGCCAUACCGCGUGGGUGAAGAAGGCCUUCGGGUUGUAAAGCCCUUUUGUUGGGAAAGAAAAGCAGCAGGUUAAUACCCCGCUGUUCUGACGGUACCCAAAGAAUAAGCACCGGCUAACUUCGUG